CAGCUGCAGUGUGUGGAGCUACAUCUAUGGAGCAGGGAGCCAGCCCAAUGUAACUGCAGAAUCUUCCCAUGGUAUUCCCCGGACUUCAGAUCCCAUUUUAAUCAUUGGCACCAUUCUGGGCUUCGCUGUCUUGAUCUGCAUUGUCCUGUUCACAUUUUUCCUUCGGAAACAAAAGCUGUGUUCAUCAGUGAAGGACUCCACACAAGGACUCAGUGACAGCAGCUGGUAACCAGUGUCUCCCUGGAGCUGACAGAAUCCCUCCUUCGACAGGACACAGGCAGAAUGUGAAGGAUUCUCCAGCAGAUUCAGACUCCGC